UACGGGGGGAGCAAGCGUUGUUCGGAUUUACUGGGCGUAAAGGGCGCGUAGGCGGUCAGCACAAGUCAGUUGUGAAAUCUCCGGGCUUAACUCGGAAAGGUCAACUGAUACUGUGCGACUAGAGUGCGGAAGGGGCAACUGGAAUUCUCGGUGUAGCGGUGAAAUGCGUAGAUAUCGAGAGGAACACCUGCGGCGAAGGCGGGUUGCUGGGCCGACACUGACGCUGAUGCGCGAAAGCAGGGGAGCGAACGGG
rnacentral:rRNA from 1 species